AAAGGUUAGAAGACAUCAAGAGCUUCCUGGCAGCAUAAUUGACAGGGAUUUGUGGAGAAAAUCCAUGUAUAAACAUAACAGGCAGUCACUGUGUCCUGAGACAACGUGAGGAUGACAGAUUUGAAGAACAAAUGUUAAAGAGCUACGGUGUCAUUUAUGAUUACAUCUUAUGAGAAGAUAAUUACAAGUGGAACUGCUUUUUUAGGCUUGCAAAAGGAGAGGAUGCCAUGCUGCUCGGCAUGACCACGCUGUGCAGGAAUGGUCACUCCAGUCAGUCUUCUCCAAAGUCACCAGCCUAGUCGACUUGAGGAUCUUGAUCACUUGAAUGUCAUCUGAGUGUGGUGUCAUCUGUGACUUCUGAGCGUUUCAUGAGACACUGAUGUGUGCCGUUCUCCCCACCGAUGGUACUUCUGACAUGCCAGGUGGUGGUCAAGCCUUCCACUGAUGCCGUUAAGCCUCAAUUGUUUUACAUCCUGGAUUUGUAAAUGUUCAUUGCCCCCAUCUAGUAUGUUCAAACCCUAAUGCAAUGUCCACGUGGAGACAGGUGUCCCCAGCACUGCCUCAAGUGUGGCCUCAUAUCACCAGGCUCAGCCUCGGCCAGAAGGGGAAGGGUCUGUGGGCUGAAUCCUCCUGGAAAAUACAUGCUUGAGCCUAUUACCAAAUACAGAAAGGACUACUGGGACAUUUGGUGGCUUGGCUGCAGAGAAGCCCAGCACCUGAGGGUGAUCUGUUCUCACCAGUGGAACUGAAGCAUUUCUGGGCCACCUAGAAGCUCAGGUGAAAAUGUCUAGCCUGCAUAUACACUAUGGUAUACAGUAUAUACAAAAAGAAGGGAAUAGCUUGAGUUCUUGGUACACUGAGGAGAAGUAUUCUCCUAGACCCCGGAAAAUCAGAGAGAAGACACACCUUUCUCAAAUGUUGGUGUUCCUCUGGGCGAUGUCCUCGCCUUCUGCUCAUCCCCAUCCACACACUGCCCUGGAAACCUCACCAUCCCUGGAGACUUUAUUAACAUCUGCAUGCUGAGAACUUUCGUACCUGUGUCUCUGGCCCAACCCACAUGCCUCGCUCCUCCUUGAGCUCCACAUACGGGUCUGUAAAUUCCUGCUGGAAGUCCAUCUUAACUGUCCUGCAUUACUCCAAACUCAGGAUGCUGUACCGAAUCCACAAUCUUCCCCCUAAUCUCUCUUACUUUCCUGGUGUUCUCCAUGUCAUAAAUGGUGAUCCAGCUGCUCAAACUGGAACGCUGGAGUUGUGCUGACUUUUCCCUCCCUCUUACCUCCCAGAGAGUUCCAAGGGUCCUGCUUGCCCCAACUCCCACUACCUCCGCUCUCCUGCAGGCACCGUCUGCACUCACUUGAAGAAGUGCAAUAACGCCUUCAA